UCCCUGGUGGUCUAGCGGCUAAGGAUCCUACGCUCUCGCUGCCGUGGCCCGGGUUUGAGUCCCGAGCAGGGAA